rnacentral:rRNA from 1 species
GCUGAGUUCCAGAGUACCGCGGGACACGUGAAACCCCGUGGGAAACCGGGUGGACCACCAUCCAAGCCUAAAUACUACCUGAUGACCGAUAGAGGAGCAGUACCGUGAGGGAAAGGUGAAAAGGACCCCGGGAGGGGAGUGAAAUAGAACCUGAAACCUUGUGCUUACAAGCACUCAGAGCCCGUUAAAGGGUGAUGAGGUACCUUUUGUAGAAUGGUCCGGCGAGUUAUAGUAACGAGCAAGCUUAAGGCAUUCAGUGCCGGAGGCGCAGCGAGAGCGAGUCUGAAUAGGGCGUAUAAAGUUCGUUGCCAUAGACCCGAAACCGGGUGACCUAUCCAUGGGCAGGUUGAAGUGGAGGUAAAACUCCAUGGAGGACCGAACCGACCCCCGUUGCAAUGGUGGCGGAUGACCUGUGGAUAGCGGAGAAAUUCCAAUCGAACUCGGAGAUAGCUGGUUCUCCCCGAAAUAGCUUUAGGGCUAGCGUUAUGUUAGAUUACCGGAGGUAAAGCACUGAAUGGGCUAGGGGCUGAUAAAGUUACUGAACCCUAUCAAACUCUGAAUGCCGGCUAAUUGAUGCAUAGCAGUCAGACAGCGUGAGAUAAGUUUCGUUGUCAAAAGGGAAACAGCCCAGACCCACAGCUAAGGUCCCUAAUAUAUGCUAAGUGGAAAACGAUGUGGAGUUGCGAAAACAACCAGGAUGUUGGCUUAGAAGCAGCCACUCAUUAAAAGAGUGCGUAAUAGCUCACUGGUCGAGUGACUCUGCGCGGAAAAUAUAACGGGGCUAAGCAUGUAACCGAAGCUUGGGAUGCGGAAACGCGUGGUAGGGGAGCGUCGAAUGCGGGGUGAAGUCAGAGCGAGAGCACUGGUGGACUGCAUUCGAGUGAGAAUGCCGGAAUGAGUAGCGAGAAUUAUGUGGGAAUCAUAAUGGCCGAAAAUCUAAGGUUUCUUGGGGAAGGUUCGUCCGCCCAAGGUAAGUCGGGAGCUAAGGCGAGGCCGAGAGGCGUAGUCGAUGCACAUACGGUAGAAAUUCCGUAACCACCGAAACUUAAGCUAGAGGGACACUUAGGAAUAGGGGAACCCGGGCGUUGGUUGACCCGGGCGAAAGGGACUGAAAUAUAGUAGGGAAGUCUCCGAUGUCCUGAGGCGAGAAAAGCUCUAGUGGAUGCUAAGGUGCCCGUACCGCAAACCGACACAGGUAGAUGAGGAGAGAAUCCUAAGGCCAACGGGAGAAGGGUUGUCAAGGAACUCGGCAAGUUGACCCCGUAACUUCGGAAUAAGGGGAGCCUCGCAAGAGGCCGCAGUGAAUAGGCCCAAGCAACUGUUUACCAAAAACACAGGUCUAUGCUAAAUCGAAAGAUGACGUAUAUGGGCUGACGCCUGCCCGGUGCCGGAAGGUUAAGAGGAGGGCUUAGCGCAAGCGAAGGUCUGAAUUGAAGCCCCGGUAAACGGCGGCCGUAACUAUAACGGUCCUAAGGUAGCGAAAUUCCUUGUCAGGUAAGUUCUGACCCGCACGAAUGGCGUAAUGAUUUGGGCACUGUCUCGACAGCCCACCCGGCGAAAUUGUAGUACUGGUGAAGAUGCCAGUUACCCGCAACUAGACGGAAAGACCCCAUGGAGCUUUACUGCAAUUUAAUACUGAAGAUCGGUAAUGCAUGUACAGGAUAGGUGGGAGGCUGAGAAGCUUGGGCGUCAGCUCAGGUGGAGCCAACCUUGGGAUACCACUCUUGUAUUGCUGGUUUUCUAACCUGCGGCCCUGAAUCGGGUCGGGGGACACUGUUAGAUGGGCAGUUUGACUGGGGCGGUCGCCUCCAAAAGAGUAACGGAGGCGCUCAAAGGUUCGUUCAGCACGGACGGAAAUCGUGCAGUGAGUGUAAACGCAUAAACGAGCCUAACUGCGAGACCGACGGGUCGAGCAGUAACGAAAGUUGGAGUUAGUGAUCCGGUGGUAUGUGAGUGGAAAUGCCAUCGCUCAACGGAUAAAAGCUACCCUGGGGAUAACAGGCUGAUCUCCCCCAAGCGUCCACAGCGACGGGGAGGUUUGGCACCUCGAUGUCGGCUCGUCGCAUCCUGGGGCUGAAUUCGGUCCCAAGGGUUUGGCUGUUCGCCAAUUAAAGCGGCACGCGAGCUGGGUUCAGAACGUCGUGAGACAGUUCGGUCCCUAUCUGUUGCGGGCG